rnacentral:misc_RNA from 1 species
AUUGAAAUGAUUGAAGUUUUUCUGUUUGGAAUCAUCUUAGGUCUAACACCUAUUACUUUGGCCGGAUUAUUCAUAACUGCAUAUUUACAACACAGACAUGGUGAUCUGUGGGACUAUGUUUUUAGUAGAUAGUAACAAUGUCAGACUAGUACUUUUUCAUCACAUUGUGUCAAGUUAUUCCCUUCAUAACAUUAUUAUAUUUUGGAUAUCGG